CAAGAGUGCGCACAACUUUUCGCUGGUCGCUCGCGAGCACGCCCCGCGCGCCUCCGCCGCGGGAGUCACCGGGUGAAGAUGAGCCCUUCCACGCUCUGCGCGCAGCCCGCCGAGCGGCCAAGCUGUUGGAUAAAGACUGCUGGCAGAUGAAAAAAGGAUGCACAGGAGGUGCGGCCGUGUGGGAAACUGGCUACUGCUUGUCCGUUUCUCUUCUGCUUGCACAGGCACCGACCGGUCCUGUUAGAUGAAUAUCGAAGCUUUUUUUUUUCCUUCUACUUCAAGUGCCCUCUAGCGAGCAAUAUCUGCGCAGGUUGCUAUGUAGAAAGAAGCAGAAGGGAGGAAGAAAAAGCAAUCCACCAAUUGUCCUCAUUCCUGAACUGAUCCACUCUCCCUCUUUCUUUCCUCAGCAGGGUCAUUUCCACACAAGUGUUUGGCAAAACAAAAAAGGUGUUGUUGCUUUUGCAUGCAAAACAAAUCACUCAUUUACUAAACUGUGAAGCGAACGUUAAUCCUUUCUCAGGGGUUUCUUUUGAGCAUUCAUCAUGAUUUUUCCCCAAGUUUCAUGCACUGUGGUAAUCAAGCAAAUAAAAGAAGGUAAGUUGCUCCCCAGGAAGAAAUUCUGUUUUGUUCCCACUUCCACCUCAGACCAGCUAUAAGGUCUUUGAUUCAAAUUGAUUAACCUCUCCAUGGGAUUGGAGUUUGCGUCUCCAUAAAAGUGCAUAACACUUCUUUCUUACCUCAGGGGGGUGGUAUGAGGCUUAAUUGAAGCUUAUAAAACAAUUUCAGUUCCUCAGACCCAAUUUGAUAUACAGUUGGACUCACUUUUCAUCUACUAACAGGGUUUCAAAUUCUCCUCAGUAGUCUAUAGGGGAAUGUGAGCAAGAUUCUGUAUUUUCAUAAACGUGGCGUUAAAACCAUUGCCACUGUAAAUAGUGAAUUUGCUUAAGAGAUUUGGAAUGAUAAGGCCUGCAAAAAGUACUCAGAAAAGAAAAAUGUAGUGGUUCCUGCAAACAUGUCUGCCUAUAAUAAAUAUAGCUAAAGAGUGAGAAAGGAAUCUUACACAGCAUACACUGGCCAUAUCUCCCUAUGUUUUAUGCAAACUAAUAAUAACAGAAGGUAACUUUAUUCAGACAAACACUCCAUUAAACAGUUACCCUGAGCACAGAAGAAAUGCCAAGGCAUUAUUCAAAUGACUGGAUUCCAGUUACUCAACUUGGAGUUUCUUUUAUUGAUACUAUUAUGCAGCAUUAUGUUUGGUCAGUAUCUUCUGACUCUAGUAUUUUAAAGGGCCAAUGUAGAGUGAAGCAAGCGACCAUAUAAUAUGCCCCAUUGGAUUGUUUACUCGCAGCAUCUCUAAUUAUUGAAGCUCUGUGGAUAGUAGUCAUUAUUUUCAUCCUUCCAUACUUCAAUGUACCUCAAAGCUAAGGAUCAGGAAGUUUAAGUGAUUUCUUCCCAGAUCCCACAAUUAAUAAGACUACAACUUAUAUUUAAAAUGUCUGACAGUAAGGCUGAAAAGAUGGCUCAGUGUUGAAGAAUGUGCAUUGAUCUAACAGACCUGAGUUCGGUUCCAAACACUCACCUUGGGCCUAUAACUCCAGCUCUGGUGGACCCACCGAUCUAGUGUCUAAGGGCACCUGCACUCACAUCCACAUAAUCAUUCACACUCACACAUGCAUGUAACUAAAAAUAAAAAAAAAAUAAGUAUAAACCAAGAUGGAUGCUGCCUGAUGCUACUUCUCAAUAUUAAAAUUGCACUAAUGUGAGAUUAUAAUAAUCUACUUUUUGUGUGUGUGCCAUACAGGAACUCAAAUCUAUCUUCUCCUUAAAGUUGGAUAUGCAUUCUAUCACAGAGGGAUACUUUCAGCCCCUUAUGAACUACUUUUAAUUCAAGUUUUACCACGCUGUACAAAGGACUCAUCAUUUGAAAUUAAACAGAAGCUAAUGUUUACAUUUGCAAACACUAUCACAGUACUUAGUGGUAAAUUGGUCUACAAUAUAUACUCCCAGAAUCUACAGGUACUAAGUUAAACCAAACCUUUCAAAGAUAAUUUAUAUCUCUUAAAAACAACUAGGCAAAGGGGGUUGGGGAUUUAGGUAAGUAGUAGAGUGCUUGGCUAGCAAGCACAAGGCCCUGGGUUCAGUUCUCAGCUCCUGGGGGGCGGGGGGCGGGGACUAGGCAAAGUGAUUCUGAUUCAGCAAAAUAAAUAUACACGUGGAUGUUGUUUGGGAAAAAUAGAAUGAAAACAUGUUCAAAGUCGUGUCUAAUUGCUCAGUUUUGUUAAUUAAGAUUGUUACAGUUCUAUUACUACAAUUAACAUUCGUAUAGUACUUUAUAUCAGUCUAAACACACUGACUUUCCUAUGUGAUCCUUGCAACAAUUGUGUGAGAUGGGCAGGUCUGUUAUUGCACAAGCUUCUCAGUAACAGGCUUUUAGAGACAGCAGAGUCCUUACAGCAUGUCUUCAUUUUAUAGUAAUGGAAUUGGUAUGUCCUAUGACUUAGAUGUCACAGAAAGGGACUGAUGCUUGCAACAAAAAGGGUAUUUGAGGCCCUUUAAAAGUGUUGUUUCAUCUUUUGGAAUAGCAUGACUAUCUCCUUAAUUUUGACUAGCUAAUUAACUGGUUUGAUAUCUUCUCUGGGCCUCACUUGUCUGUGUGUAUAAGAAUGUUUCACUCACAGGAUGUUGAAAGAGUACUAUCUAGUUAUGGAUGCAUGUAGUCAUCCUCUCUUAUUUGACCCUGUAAUAUCCCCACUACUCGAGAAGAACAGGCAGCCAGAGAAUAGAUCAUUUCCUACAUCCGUACAGUGUAUUCUGUCCUAAUUGUAUGAUUUUUUUUGUCUCCUGGCCAGACAAGACAUUCUGCCAGCUCUCCAUCACCCUUUAAAUGGUACCUCCCACUGUUCUGCAGCACAUUCUGAGCUCCAGGCAAACCACCCUCCUUGCAUCUUUUUCUAAAUUGUCAUUUUCUAAAUAGUUUAUACCUUGUUCAUGCAACAAUAUUUCUUGGAGAAAAAAUUAGUCUUUCUUGGGAUUUACAAAUGACUCGGUGGUUUACUAUUUACCUCCCGGUGUGAAUGAGGUUCUCGGUUCACUCCCAAGUUCUUCCACCACCAAAAAGGAAAAAGAAAGAAAGAAAAAAAGGCAGGCUUUUUUAAAUUCUAUCUGCCCUUCUCCUAUCUAAAUAAUUAUAAAACUAAAAUCAACUAAUGUUAGAAGCAAGUUAUUUCAGUCUUGAAAUCUGAUAAAGAAACAUGGUUUGAUAUUUCUUAUUUAAUGACCUAAAGGAGAAAUAAUGUGAUUUGUCAUAAGGCAUACACGAGAUAAAGGAAGAUUUUAUAGAAGGAGAAAUCUGCCACCAUCCAAUGAAAUGGCCUUCACUAUAAGCUGUAAGUCAGGAAAGCACCAGAGCUUAGAAACAAGGAAAAAGAUUGGCCAUCCAUAUUCAUGCCUGGGUACAGAACUUUUGGCAGGAUGCUCUUGAACAGGUCAGAACUUAAGAGGUAAAGUGUUUCGCCAACCGUGGGUCAGCUUCAUACCAGAUGACUUCUGCUGAGGAUGCUUUAUUCAUCUAAUUCCCUGGAAGCCAUAGGCUCUCAAGAUCAAACUCUGAAUAGCCUUGUAGAUAGAAAGGCCUUAAGGGAAGAAAUCUAGGUAGAAUUCAUCGAUCAAAGCUGAGGAGGAUGGUAUGGCUUUUCCCAAAUCUUGACUGAGGUUUUAAUUUACAAAAUGAGCAACUUUAUUUUCUUUGACAUUAAUUAUUUAUCUACUUGAAUAUGCAUUAUUGUGUUGCUGAUUAAUAUUGAGGGUCUCACUCCUAACACCUACAUCAGAGUCACUCCUUGGAGUUGUCCUUAGGUUUGGCUCUACACGCUGAGACUAAUGAAGAUCAGUUGAUUGAACAGACCCUGAACAUAAAGAGAUGACAUUCUCCCUCUCAAAUAAAUAAUACUCAUGCUGUAUUUCCAGAUGCAUCUCUCUUGUGGUUUGGAGCAAAAUGUGCUGCAUGUAGUCUAUGUGCUGGAGGACUGGAAGCCAGUAGUAUCAUUGAGAGAUUUAGCAUCUUUAGGAUGUGGCUUUGAUGGGAGCAAAGAGGCAAAUCCUUGUAGUCCUGGCCCUUCUUCAUCUCUACUUCCCAGCCUCCAGAGGGCAGUAUAUCCUCCUCACUAUUUUACUGCCUCACCACAGGCCAGAAGACAACAAUGCAAACUUUCAGCUGAAAUUUCUAAAACCAAGAGCCAAAAACAAUCGUUUCUCCCUACAACCUGUCAAGUAUAUUCUCACCGUAACACAAAGUUAACUAACACAACCACAAAUGUAAUGUUGUUGUGUGACAUUGACAUGUGAAAAAAAAUCUGCUUGAGGAUUGCACAAAUGGAAGAUCCAUCAAAUUAUUCCACCCUAGUAUAGCUCAAAGAACCAAGAAGUUUACUGGGUUACUUGCAGAAGCAUAAAUAAGUGCUUACUUGCAACAGCAUGGGUAACUCAAAGGUAUCAGCAUCAGUGAAAAACCUAGUGUAUUGGUCAACUCAUGAAAGCUGCACUAUUGGGACUUCAGACAUCAUUUAUAGGCAGCUCAGCUGUACAGUCUCUGUCUUUUUCUUCUCAGCAAUUACGUACUGCUUUUAUAACGUUGCUUUAUUUUUUUUUUCAGUUUUAGGAGCCUCCCUCCCCACUCUAAAGGGGGUGGAAAUGUUUCACAUCACGGGUACUAGCUACACAAUAGAUGUGUGUUCUCAGUCUUUACUCAUCUGCCCACUUCCAUGCUCCUGUCACUAUUUACUAUCUAGUGUGAGGCUUCAUAUACUGUUCUGUUAUGUAUGCUUCUUUGUCUGCUGUCAUUACUUGAUUGAUUCUGAACUCCUUGGAUAGUAUGACUAAGAAUGGCUGGAAAGAAGCUGUUUCUAACUUCAAUGAUGUUAAGAGUUUUGAAUGCUGCAUGUCCAGAUCUAUGUUAUCUUGGGGCAUCUUAAUCUCAAUUAAUAUACAUUCACUGGCCUCCUGCACAUAUGUUCAUUUUUUGUGCCUAUUAGAUAAUCUUAGACUUUGUGAACAGACCCCUAGUAUUCGACAACCAAAGAGCUAAGUAAGAAUGCUAUAAGACAGCAUCCAAGUCUUAGAGCCAAGUAUUUCCUGCUUUGCUGUAAUUUACCUGCCUAAUAUACACACCAACAUGCUUGAAAACUGUAUUAUAUUAUAACUUUCUUUUUUCUAUUACUAUAAAAGUCUCAUGAAACUGCUGCCUCAGUGAAACAUGUUCACUCAUAUAUGGCUCAUUUUAUCCCUUUGAGGUGAGAGCUGUUUCUUUCUUGGACAGCAAGGAGGAGUCUAUUAUUCAUAUCUGUGAUUUCUAAACUUAGCUUAAAGCCCGAUCUAUAGUCCGUGUUUAGCGAUCAUAUUAUCUAAGAUGAUCAACAAGUGAAUAUGGCUGCAGAAGUAACUAUGGCAUUAUUUUCAGCAGCUAACUAGACAUAGACCCAGAUUUGGACUUAGAAAAUCAGAUGGUCCAACAGAUCAGUGUAGGGAGCUCAAGGAGAUAACAGAUUUCACUGGGAAGAGAGAGAGAAAAACAUGGUUAAAACAAAGCAAACCCAGGAAACUCCAUCUCCUUGGACAAAAAUAAAACAGUCAAGAAAGCAGAACUAAAGGCUGGAUAAUCAAAAUGAUAUAAAGCUAUGUCUGACUGACACAAUUAGUGUGAACAUAGGAAGACAGGUUAGAUCGCUGAUGGUGAUACAUGAUCAUAAUAAGUAUCACUCAUAGCAAUCAUAAUUACAAUGGCAAUGAGUAUUAAUGAGUGUACCUCUGCCUCUUAGCAGCUCAUAAUUUAAUACCUGAGUGUUUAUAAAGCAAUGUCCCUUUCAGGAAGCAAAUGACCCCCCACCAGGCCAACUUUACUGUCCCCAUUACUAUUAUACCCUCAGACAUGCCGCUCCAUGCCCAAAGACAAAGCUUUAAAAUAGAUUCCCACUAUCCAGAGCUGAGAUUUUCCUUUAAGAGCAGAAAAUGUAUUUUGUCUAUUUGUCUCUGAAUCCCCAGGAGCACAGAAGAAAUGCUCAAUAAAUUUUUAUUGAUUUAUUAUCUUAUAUUUCCCCACAGUGAGCUGCAAGAUAAAUAGGUCUGUACCCCCAUUUUUUAGGUGAGGAAACCAGAGACACCUGGUCAGAGUAGAAAUUGGCUAACGAAUUUCCAAUAUUUUAGCACCUUAGUUUCUGCUGUAGUGCUUGUCCCCUGCCCAGAGAGACCAAGACUGACAAGGUCGCAUUGCUUAUUAAUUAUUCUGUUUCUGUAUGGAAUUCUAAGAAACACAUUACUUUCCUUCAUAUUCAGAUGGAGAACCAAAGAAGUUUGCUGGCAAAGUGCCUACUUCUCUUGCUUUGCAGGGAUCAAGGGCAAAGCUGCACACUUGGGAGUCAACCUUGAGCACCUAAAGCACUCUUUCUAAUGAUGACGUGGAGAAUAGGAAAAGCAUUAUGCAUCUGGAUGUGAAAAUCCGUGUGUAUUCUAGGGGAGAUGGAAUCAGUGCAUUUCUGAUUAAUUUGCACUUAAAUCAAUGAAGUGUUUAGCAAAAGAUAUUUGAUGUUCAAGAAGCCUUUUAGAGGAGUCUGAAGGGAUUUUAUAGUUGCUUUUUUGUCUUAAGAAGGGAAUUUUUCUUUUCCAUGAUCUUAUACACAAAUGACUUAAUUUCAAAGUUUCAUUUCCGAGAAUAAUCUUAUUACUUUCAAAAUCUUUCUACUUAGACAUAUUUAGAGGUAAUUAAUUUGUAUUUUAUCAUUACGUCACUUGAUUGUGUCAUCAUCUAUCUAUUAUCUACCAUCUACUUAUCUAUCAUGUAUCUGUCUAAUCUAUCCAUCUAUCAUCAUCAUCUAUAUCUUUCUAUGUAUCAUCUAUUCAUCCAUCCAUCUAUCAUCUUUCUAUCUAUCAUCUAUCUGCCUUAGAUCUAAAACAACUUUGAUACUCAAGAGCCUACAAGAUCCCAUAUUCUGAGUAAACAUGAAUGACUUUGGCCUGGGAAUAUGAAUUCUGCUGACCUUGAAUGGUAUAUGCACUUUUACCGGCACAGAAAAAUCAUAAAUUAGUGCAUUUGUCAAAUACAUCAACAAUGACAGCAAGUCAGCAGAUUACAAUAGAGCAGGUGUUAUUGCCUGAUUUGGGGAGUCUGUGCUUACUCCUAAGAGUUUUAGAUUCUUCUACCUCCAAACAAAGAAUUGAGCAGAGAUACACAAUGGCAGCAGAAGCAGAAACAGUUCAAGAGGCAAUUCACUUCACACGGCAGGAAAGUAGCCAGAGGAGAGAGACAGGAAAGCUUAGUAGCCCCACUGCAUACAGGAUCACUGCUUUCAAGAAACUUUAGAGUGGUGACACAGCUUAUUUGCAUUGCAAGGGUUUAUCUACUCAUUUAAGGAUUCUUCCUAGUAUAUGUAUUCCUAAAAGCACAUUCUUGUGGCACAUGCAUUAACUCAAAGAUGUGUGGUCUUGUAUUAUAGUGAGCUACAUGGUACUUCUGGACACUCUGGGUUUUAGAUGGCCUCACUAGGGUGUUCAGUCAACUCUCUUUUCUAAUAUGCCAAUUUGACAAUGUUUUUAUUAUACUUUCUGGACUUCAUUCUCCACCCAUCCCAUGCCUUACAGGGAUCUUUAUUCUAUUACUUUCAAAUGUUAGAACACUCUUGGCUAUAGAGAGAUAGAGUAUAUAAUACAUUUCAAAAGAUUUGUCUAACAGUUAAAAGAAUAUAAGUUAAGAUACAAAAGUUGGAAGUAAAUAGUUAUGAAGGGGACUAAAGUUAGUCCAAAAUAAUUUGACCUUCAAUCUGCAGCAUUUAAUUAAUUCACAGUCAUGAAGUCAUUCUAUCAGUGUUCAGGAACUGUAAGGCACAUGUCUUAAAGUUUCUUCAAGAACCUUAGUUUACUCCACCCAUGUGUCAUCUAUAUGCCUGCCUGCCUGUCUGUCUGUCUGUCUAUCUGUUUAUCUAUCUAUCUAUCUAUCUAUCUAUCUACCUACCUACCUACCUACCUAUUUAUCCAUCUAUAUCUAUUCCUUUUGCUAAUGGAAUUCACAUAAUGAUAAGCAGAUUUAAGAACUUUAUCAAAAUAUUGGUUAUUAUUUCCUAAGAAUAUCAAUAAACUCAGAGUUCAGGCAAAGCUUGAAUUCUAUAAGAUAUGCUUCCUGUGUGAAGAAGGAAGACACAAAGUAGAGCAAUGGAGGCUUAAGUGGAUGGAGACUUCUUCAUGUUUGUAGUAUAGAUUAAAUAGGAAGGUAAGUGUGCUGAGAGUAAAUGAUAAUUUGAGUUAACUGAGAAAUCCAAUGCUAGUGUUUUGCAUGACAUCAUUCUGUUUAUCCCACACAAAGAUUUGGAGAUGCAGGUGUAAUCACCUGCCUUUUGCAGAGCAAGAAUGUGAUAUACAAGGAUUUCCUCAAAUCCUACAUCUGUUCGGAAACUACUGUCUUUUCGAUCUAUGGUUUGUGUCUGACCCAAAGUUCUUAGAAGAGCCCAACAUCUGGCGUAAGGCAAGUAGUAUCCCUGGUGCUAUGAUUUCUGGUGUGGCACAGAUCCUAGCUCCAUGAAAUAAGUAGGUGAUAAAUUACUCUCUUUCAAUUAUCUUUCUAAUUUUUGUCAAGAGAGAACAUUUCUAUUCCUGCCUGUGCUGAUGCCAGUAACAAGCAGAAUGCUGCUGACUUGUCAUCAGAGCCUUAAGCAGACUCCAAGUGUCUUGUUUAAAUCUAAGAACAAUGUUUUGCAUUCAUUCAGUUUAUUUCCAAGUUUACCUUGUAGUGUGGUAAGUAAAAAUAACAUUCCUUUUUCUAGGUAUGGAUAUAAGGUUUCCUUUUAAACAAAUGUUUAUUUUGCAUUUUGAAGAAGGGAGUUGAUUAAAAUAUUAUAUCACACAGAUGGUGCACAGACAAAAAGAAAAGCAAUGUGACUAUAUGCGUGACUACAGCUUGCAGAACAAAAACACUAUAUUAAAUCAACAUCCUUUCAAAGAGCCAUCACCAAGUAAAUUGUCUUUUUUAAUUUGGGAAGUGUAUUUUAAUUUCGGAAGUAUACACAUAUAAAGCAUUAUUUCUGGAUUUUAAAUUUUUAUUCAAUUUCAAAUGUUCCAGAUAUCUCUACUUUGAUUUCUUAUAAAGUAUUAACAGCAAUAAUCAUUAUCUUCAGUUAAUAUCCUAGAUAUAGACUUAAGGAAACACGACUGCCUUUCUCUUUUCAGAGACAGAAGUAAAUAAAGGAAGUAAAUCUUCCCAGCGUACAACUUUUGGGCAGGGUAUGUGGAAACAAGCAAAAAUAAACUUCCAUUUUUUUCUGCCUAUUUUAUUUGGUUUAUCACCCAGUUUCAUUUGGGGAGACAUUGUGGUCCUCUUCAGUGGAAGUUUAUUUUUAUAUGUUUUUCCUUGCCAUUGCAAAGGGAAGUCGACAUAUUGCUCAUACAGUGUUAAAGUCUUUAUGAACUGCUGAUGGAUAUCCAGGAAAUGCUCUGAGGAGUAGGAGGUGAUAUUGUGGAAAAUAUCCACUUCCUCUAAAUAUUACCUCCAGUUGCUUUGUAGCAAAUAUUGCUGAGGAAAGAGACUAUAAAUCACUGAAGUCCUGAGGGCUUAGUGGUGAAGGACCGUUUAUGUUUUCCUUUGGUUUGAAUUACUGACCAAGACUAUUGAAUGAGGAAAAGAAACAUUUUACAAAGAAAAGUGAAGAGAGGAGAUGAGGAGAAAGAAGAAGAGGGGGAGGGAGAGAAGAUGUGUGAAAAGAGAGAUAGAGAAGAAGCAGAUGGAAAUGCUAAGCAUCCUGUGCUGUGAAAGAGUCUGGUCCUUUUUGUUGUUUUGUUUUGAGAUGAGGUCCCAACACAUCUACCAGGAUUGUGAUUACCAGGUGGAUUCCACAAGGCCUGGUUUGCCUAUUUUUUUUUUCUGUAAUUCAUGUCUUGCAGUGGUGUAUGCAGACCGUUUAGGUAAGGAUACUCAUAAUUAGAUACAAGCCAACACCAUUUCUAAAGUUCCGAUCAAGGCCAAGCAUGCAAUUGCACAGUUUUGGAAAGCAUUUGGGGAACAUAUAUGUUGUAUACAGAAAAUCUGGAACAUAUUCUGUGUCCUACCCUUUAGUAGAUACAGGAUCUUUAAAAAUGACUAUAGCUGUAGUUACCUUAUUGUUUUGUUUCUUGAAAACCUGUAGCAGGCCCCUUCCCACUCUUUAUUUCUACCUGCCCUGGUAAAUUUGUUCAUAUUGCCUGAAUCAGUCAAGAUGGAAAUACAAAUUUAUUACUGUUGCCUUUUGUCAAUAUCAUUUUGACUAUACAACACUCCCCCCGCCCCGCCCAUUUUCAUUUCUACUACCUCUCAGUAAAAGCAGGAAAAUAUGGUUUCCCCUUCAUGAACCUUUAUCUCACCUCUCUCAUUAGAUCAGAGUAAAAUUCUAAUAACAUGAACUGUAUGUGAGGAAAUGCUGCUAAUUAUAGACACAUACAGCAUUAAGCUUAUUUAUAUUAAUGAAUAAAUCAAAAGACAAGAAAAAUCAUCCUUCUAUUUUUAUUGUUUUCUGAAAUUUUAAGUCCGAUCGUUGUCAUUCUGUGUAUGAUAUGAGAAAUAGAAAUGGUGGGUGCAAUUUGCAUGUGUGAGGUUAGGAUCUCUUGUAGCAGGCAACCUUGUCUAGCUUGUCAUUACCUUUGAACACUCACUGUAAGUGUAUCUCAUUAAGUGCUAAGGCAUUAUGUUGAGUCCGUAGCCAUGACAGUGUUGAGUUUGAUUAAUCCGUGAGAAAUCAGUGUCUUAUUAACGUAUAAACAAGUGCAUAUACAAAUACAUCUGCAAGACGACCCAGUUUUCAUCCACAUGCAUUAAACCUCAUGUUGUUUCCUACUUAGGACCAGGUGCAGAUAAUUAAAAGAUGAAUGAGAUAAGAUGCCCUCAAAAUCUCAGUCAAGUAGCAGAGACAGACAAUGUGAAGACAUAAUUUGGGUAUAAGGACAGCUCUCAAGUGCUGCAGCAGAAAGGGAUGAUGAAAACGCAAAGGCUUAGGCAUCUGAGGACAUCCUUGGAGAUAUCACUUCACUUCUCUGAAUAUCUUUUUGACUGUCUAACCUUGGGAGCCUCUUAGCUACUCUGGGAAGUAGCUGGGUGUGACUGAAGUGAGGAUACACAGCAGGAUCCAAGAAGAGUAGCAGACUAUGUGCCAUGAUAGCUGAAAAGGCAAGCCCAGAAGAGCCUUAUCAUUAAGGCUGAAAACCUUGGGCAUCCUUCUGUUAAUCCUUUACAAUGCUGAGAACUAUAUAACAAGUGUAUCUAUUACAGCUUCAUGACAGCUGUACUCAAACAGAGUGCUAGAAUUUGGGUGAAAUUUUGCCAGAAUAUGGAGCAAUAGGAGGAAGAAAUACCAGUUACAAAGUAAUUGCAAACUUAAAAGUAAAACAAACAAAAAAAAAAUGCAAGAACGCUGUUCUUGGUGAUUUAACUCCACUCCAACUGCUCAACUGCUCAGGAACCUCCAAGGUAUAAACACUCUCAAGGUCUGUGUUUGCAAAUGAGAAGUGUGAGGUAGGGAGAGCUUAAAUAUCUUGUCCAGCAUCACAUCACUAGCCAUAGUAUUAUAUUGUGACACCUCAGGAAAGAGAAUUGAGGGCUGAAACCAGGCUGACUCUUAUGAUAGCAUACUUUUCUUUCUUGUUUUUAAAUUUAAAAGUGUUUUUUUUUUCAUUUUACAUAACAACCACAGUUCCCUCUCCCUUCCCUCCUCUCCCUUUUUUCUACCUUCCACCACCCCAACCCCCAGCCACUCCUCAGAGAGGAUAAGGCCUCCCAUGGGGAUUCAAUAAAGUCUGGCAUAUCAAGUUGAGGCAGGACCAAGCCCCUCCUCGAUGCAUCAAGGCUGAGCAAAGGGGAGUGGACUCCAAAAAGCCAGUUCACGCACUAGGGAUAAAUUAUCAUCCCACUGCCAGGGGCCGCACAAACAGACCAAGCCACACAACUGUCACCCACAUUCAGAGGGCCUAGUUCGAUCCCAUGCAGGCUCCCUAGCUGUCAGUCCAGAGUCCAUGAGCUCCCACUAGCUCAGGUCAGCUGUCUCUGUGGGUUUCUCCACCAUGAUCUUGACCUUCCCCCCACCUUGCUCAUAUCAAUCACCAUAGAUGGAGAAAACAAGAUAUUACAUGAUAGAAUACUUUUCAUUUGACUUGUUUUUUCCUUGGUGUUACUCUUUCAUUGCCAGUAGAUCCAAAACACAGCUUGAAUUCCUUGAAUCAUUAUUGUCUUGAUUUUAUAUUAAGAGUGCUUGCUUCAGUGUUCAGCAAAUAGCUCAAAUGUGUAUUCUAAUAUACCACAAUGUGGAGUAAGAAGCAUCAGUAAAUUCUGUGCCCAAGUGCUAGUGUGCAGUCCCACUGUGGCAUGUGAGCACAGUUGUUGUUAGACAGGCACAUGGUAGUAUCAGUUGCUCUUCUCUUCCCCUGUUUAAUGGUUUCAUUUCUUUGGCGAGACUACUUUCUUCAACGCUCCUUGCAGUUUUUGCAAAUGGUCAUCUUGUUUGACCUCUAAAACCUGCUUCUACAGCUUCCUCUGCUCUUGUAAGACAUCUUUGCUCUUCUUUCUCCACAGUGUCUUCACAUGGACUACUGUUCUUACAGCAUAAGCUCUUACCUUCUGGACACCUGGCAUUUGUCCUAUCACCCCUACUAAUGUGUCUAGUAAUGUGGGUACCAUAUCGUUUUUUAAGUGGUGUGGCCACAGAACGAGGACAUAGGAAAUGUCAUCAGAUAAUGUUCCAGUGAGACUUGGGGGCUCUAAUCCUCAUUUUCUAGCGGGGAUAAGCACCCACGGGAUUUAUGAUUUUGAUUUCACUACCUUCUGGAUCGUAUCCAAAGACAUCUCUCCAGUGUUGCUGCAGGAUCAGAGGUAUCUUUCAUUUGCACAGAAACUUUCUCCAAGGUGAGAUAAGGUCAGAACCUCAGGAGAGCUUAGCCCAGGGGGGCAUGUUGAUGGCUAUGGCGAUGUGAAUACCUCACUUUGACUCCUCCUGACCUCUUGUAUUUCCUGCUGUCUUUUCACAGCUAGUCCUGCACAGUCUAUUCUGAUACCCUGUGUCUUUUGAAUUGUUUUGCUUAGAAAGUGAAAUAAUUCAGCUUGUAUUCUCAUCUAAGGGAUGCAUAAGGCCUGGGGUGUUUCGGAGAAAUGCUUUGACUUAUGUUGUGGAAAUCCUGACCACAUUCAAAUGCCAACUUAUAUCAUCUCCUUUGUUUCAGGCAUGGAGCAAGAGUUCAAAGUAUUUACUCAGCCAGGAUGAGAUGAGUUAUAAAUUCUCAAUGGUGACAAAGAAGAAUAAAUGAGUUAAAGUAGCAAGUACAGUGGGACUUGUGUGUACCCAGAGCUCUUACCUGGGGCUCAGGGUAAGAUCCCCAUUGGUUCUGUCAUAAUGAGGAGAAGAUUGUCUUAGGCUUUUCGUGUGCAUACAUGUUGGGCUUGAACCCAGGCCCUUCCAAGUUCUAAUAUCUGCUAUAAAGUUACACGCUCAGACCGUCUUUGAGCUUUUGAAAUAACAUCUCAGUAGUUCCCUCGUCUGGCAUAGACCUACACAGCCUGUCCUGACUUUAGUCCUUGCAACUGUCCUUCCUCUGCCUCCUAGGGAGGUCUUAGAGGUGUGUGCCACCAUGCCUAGCUAUUUCAGUCUUUACUGCAGAUGCUCGUGUCUUUCUGUGAGUCCUUCUACUUGGUAGGCUUUCAAUCACUACCUAAACACUGGAAUUAUAUGAGAGCUGAAGUGGACCUUUAAGAUCUGUUCCGGUUUCAUUUGCUCUGCUUUGGUUUACUUUGUAUUCUAAAAUGGUAAAAAUAGUUCUGUAAUAAUGCGAAGCACCCUUUUUGGCAUGGUUUGAGCCAGUGGAGAUUUUCCUGGCUCCCAUCCUAGAUUUUUCAUUUAUUCACACUUCACCUUAAUGAUAAUUUUCUUGGUCUGUUAGCAUCAGUCAAGUUUUAUUAUUGUACAUGUUCUCCUAAGAUGCUGGACCUGCUUUCACAGCAUUUUUUCAUUACUUGUUAAUUUGGGGGUUAGUUGAUCUAUACUGCCUUCAUUUUCUUGACUGUCAGUGUUAUAACAUCUGACAACUUAUCUUUCAUCUUUGAAAAUAAGGACUUGUAAUAAUAGAGAGAAAAAUUAGUUUCUCAGUAUUAUUUCCUGACUAUAUGUGUGAAUACAUACUUUUCUCUCUUCUCCAAAUCUCAGUUUACAAAUUUGUAAAGUAGUAUAUCACUGUGUAAAAGCUUACAUUUUUAAUAAAUCAAGCAGUGUAUUCCUGAGGAAUGAGGGAUUUCUCAAUGGAAGUCCAUUAUGUUACCUCUAUGGAAAUUUUCCCUCUCAGCACUGAUUGUCUCUGAAUUAUUGUGCAGAUAAAGUAGAAACAAGUACUCUUGGAAUCUUACAAGCAAAAUGUAGAUGAUAACACCUAGUCUUACAAUGAUAUUCUUCCAGUUCAAGAUAUUUGGCUUUUAAUUUUUUAAUUAAAAAAAUUAUCUAUCUAUUUAUUUAUUUAAUUAAUUAAUUAAUUUUUAGUUUCUCAAGAAAGGGCUUUUCCAUGUAGUCCUGACUGUCCUGUAACUUGAUCUGUAGACCAGGCUGCUCUCAAACUCUGAGAUCCCAUUGCCUCUGCCUCUGUGUCCUGCUGUGGGAUGUCGUUCUACAUGCUGUGAAUAUGUGUAGCACUGAUUGUUUGAUAAAUAAAAUGCUAAUUGGCCAGUAGCCAGGCAGGAAGUGUAGGCAGGGCAAGCAGACAAGGAGAAUUCUGGGAAGAGGAAGGACUGAAUCAGGAGUCACCAGCCAGACACAGAGGAAGCAAGAUGUCAAGGCAGAACAGAGAAAAGGUAACAAGCUAACUAUAGGUAAGAGUUAUGGGUUAAUUUAAGUGUAAAAGCUAGUCAGUAAAAAGCCUGAGCUAAUGGCUGAGCAGUUAUAAUUAGUAUAAGCUUCUGAGUAAUUAUUUUAUAAGCAGGCCAUGGAACUGCAGGGGCUUGGCAGGAUUGGAAAAAUCUUCUAGCUACAGUCUCCUGAGUGCUGGGAUUAAAGGCAUAUGUCACCACCACCCAUCUUGGUUUCCUUUAUUCUUCAAUUAAACAAUGAACAUGAUUGUAGCAAUGCAACAAUAGCACAGUAAACUAUCUGUUCAUUAAUUUAUUUACUUUCAUUUUGUUUGUUUGUUUGUGGCACUGUGGGAUCUGAUGCAAGGGCUUAGGCAUUUUAGGCAUGUACUUUCCUCACUGCAUUGUGUUCAUUUCUUUUAUUAAAAAGGAAAGUGAGUAAAUUUGAAUAUUGAUUUAUCUACCAUAGAUUAAGAACAACAAAAAAAUUUUACCCCUCACAUGGCCCCUAUAUAUAGGAGUCACACUUAAAGGUUUUAUUUUUUUCCAACAUCCCUAAAUUUAUGGGUUUUAUCUGCUGUCACAAGACAGGGUUUUAAAUUAAUUUCAACUUCAUGUUACAAGAUGCAAUGUAACUUACUGAUAUUCUCUUCUUUGUGAAAAUUAAACAUUACUUUGUGCUUUUAAUAAGUUCAUGUUUUUCUUUUUAAUAGAUUUUAAUUACUUUUUACUUAUCUGUUGGGGUUUGCAUACCAUGGUGAAUACGUGGAAAUCAGAGGAUAGCUAGUAGACGUUGGUUCUAUAUUUCUACCUCUUGAGCCUUGGGGAUCCAACUUGCAUCAGGUUUGGCAGAAAAUACCUGUAUGCACUGAGUCAUCUUACCACACUUACAGCCUGAACCAUCUUGUCAGCCCUGCCUUUCCACUAAGAAAAUUAGCUGUUGACCUUGAUAUUGUUUUUAAAAUCAUCAUAAACUGUUAUACAAAUAAACAUCAAUAUCUAGUUAUUUUCACAAUAAAUAAAAUUUACUUGAGGAAAAAUUUAAAACAUACAGACUAUCCCCUUUUAAUGGCUCUGGGAGGCUUUAAAGCAUCUUUUAUUUUCCUUGUGAAAGUUUUAGCAAACAUUUCAUCCCUAAACAUGUCAUCAAAUCACUGAAAUGUGACUGUAAAGAAACAAACAGUCAGAAUAAAAUAAGAGCUUUGACAACAAUAAGGCACUUAGUAUUUUAGUUUGGAUAAAGAAUGGUUAAAGUAUUGUGCUUUAGUACUUUAUUAUUAAGAAUAGUUUUUAAAGUGAAGAAAACAUUGAAUAAUUUAAGCAACACAUAAAUAAAUUUACUGUUAUCUAGUCAAGUCUGAGAUGAUAUAUUUAUUCUUUGAAGGGAAGCUUGGUUAGUCAACUGGUCUGCACCAAUGGCAGAAAAGAGGUAGAGUAUGCUUAGGGUAUUUAUUAUAAAAUAUUGGCAGUAACUCUAACCCAUUGCUUCUUGACAGGAAAUGAUCUCUAAUCAGUUUAUUUAUGAUCCAAAACAAAACAACAAAACACUCUUAUUAAGAUAGACUUGUGAAAAUUAGGACAAAUUCACUUUAAUCUUGAAGGGUAGUGAUACACCCUUAAUUUAAUUUAUGUAAUGAAGUCAUUACAUUAGACCUAAGAUUGGGCUAAAUUAUUAUGUGUCAGAAAAAUGAGAUUCAUGAAAGAAUACAAAAAUGAAAAUAGUGAAUGAAUGUUUUCUCCUAUGGGUAGUCUACAUGGAACUAGAGAAAUAUGCAUUCAAGUGUGUGUCUUUUGAUUUCAAAUGAAAGCAGACAGACUUUUUGUUGAGGGGAGGGAGGAAGGAAGGUGGGAGGGAGAGAUGGGAAGAAAAGUGUGGUUAAAAAUAGCAAAAUACAAUACAUGUAUAAAAAUGUCAUAAGGAAACCCAUUGCUUUGCAUACUCACUAAAAAUUAAUACCAAAGAGAAAAAUCACACAGAUCUAUUUUGUUUUGUGAGACUCUGUUCAGUAUAGGCAGCUUCUCUGCAGCCUUCACUGAAAAGAAGCGUUCCUUUUGUUACACGUGUCUUAUAGUUAAAGUUAAAUUUUAAGCAUAUAAAGGCAAAUUUUCUGUGCUAAAGUUGUCCCCCCACUGAUCUGCCUAAUCCCUACAUCUUCAGAGUUUUAAAACAAAUCCUGGGGUUCUAAGAUAAUACUUAGGGGAGGGAAGGCAAGGCAGGGUCUUCCUGCAUAAGGUGCAUGCAGUGGGAAAGAAGUUUGCACAGAAUGCUUGUGACCUAGAGAUGAGAGGAUUAAAUAUUAUUUAAAAAGUAAGGGCUUCGUCCUAUAAGUCAGAACAUUUAUUGAGACAAACAUGAAUCUAGAUGUUUUAUAUGUAAAGUGCAUUUUAGUCUGUAACACUAAAUCCACUAAAGACAUAGCAUGAUUUCUAUCUUAGUGGGUAAAACCUGGUAUAAAUUUCUGAAUUCUUCAAAGAAACAGAGCAAGCAAGCAGUGUGUGUGUGUGUGUGUGUGUGUGUACAGACAAAAUUCUAUGUGUAAAGAAUAUAUAUUCUCUAUAUCCUUUAAAAAUUUUAUUUUAAGGAUUGGGUCACAGCAUCUUUAAGGAUUGCCAAUUAAAAAUAAUUGAAGAAGCAUACUGUGGCAAAUUGAAGACUUGAGAAAGAGUUUGGUUGAGUCCACAGUUUUAAUUUCUUACAAAGUCUGUAUUUUGUGAUGGCCUUCACCUGACGGAAUGAGGCCCACACACAUUGAGGAGUACAGCCAGUUUUAGUUAAAAUUGUUGAUGUAAAUGUCAUUUAUAUCAAAAAAUUCUGCUUCUGAAAACCCAUAAUAUUGAAUAGAAGAGCUGUAUAUCAUGACCUAAGGUGUUAAUACACAGAUUACCCACUGCCUAAAUGUUUUCCUAUGGAAGUCCAUGAAAAGAAAAGGUAGGGGGAGGGGGAGUCAUGGUGGUAGACAUACUAAAGUUAUCUGUCAUUUUAAAUGAAAGAGAAUCUAUACAUAUACAUAUAUUCAUAUAACAACAGUUAAUUUAAAAAGAGUACACAAAUUUUCAAAAGAGCAAGUAGGAGUACAUAGAAGGGUUUAUAGGGAGUAAAGGGAAGGGGGAAUUGAUGUGCUUAUAUUAUAAUCUCAAAAAAAUAAAAGAAAUACUUUAAAAAAACAGGUCAUUUCAGAGACUAUCUAGAUGUUUUCUAGUUUCACAGAAAGAUUCUUCAGUUCAAAACUAGUUUUCUUUCUUAAGUACAAGAGAAUGUGAAGCAUAUUUAUAGUGAGAUGGAUAGACCACCACUAUGCUUAUACUGGGUUAUAGAUUAUUAGAUUUCCAAUGCUGGGGAUCUAACACAGGGCCUAAGACAUGGUUUGCAAGCCAAUAAUUGAUAAAGCUCAGCCUCUUAACUUUCAGUUAUAAUUGCAAUAAUUAAAAUGAUAUUUUAUGACUUUUUUGUGUUUGUUUGCUUGUUUUUUUGCUUUUAUUUAUCUAUUCAUUCAUCAUUUUAUUUAUUUAUUUAUUUGUUUGUUUGUUUAUUUAUUUAUUUGUUUGUUUGUUUAUUGAGCUCUGGGACCCAAUAUUAACUUGAAAAAUCUAUUACUAGAAAAGAAGCAUUUGUGUUUCUGGAGACAAAAUGAAAAGGGUAAGUCACUGGGACGGAUUACUCGGUUCUUGAAACAAGGUUAUUGAUUAUGGAACUACCAAGCACAAGUAAAGCCACCGCACUGAGGAAGCACACCCUAAGGGAACAGUGACAGAGCAUCUUACAACAGGUGCUGUUGGAAGAACCUUAACCGCUGAACAAAUUCUCAUGGGUGCCAACACAGUUCCCGUGGCUGGGGCCACAGAUACCUGAUGGUAGCCUAGGCUAGCAACUGUGCUGCAAGGAGAAAAACAUACAUCAGACUGCACCAUGGAACAGAGGAGUGAAAACAGCAGUGGUCUGUGCGGAUGCCAAAGCAGCAUAGAAAGGAGACGCGAGAUUCUAGGGCAGUCUUUCAUCCCGGUCCUAGCUGACUUCUCACAUUAGCAAAAAAAGCAAGAAAUCUAGCAAUUAAUAAUGGCCUUUCUCACUUCCCAGUCACUUUCUAGGGAUCUCAACAUAAAUCUCAUCUACAAGGAAAUGACAUAUAUUUAAAAUCUUCCUGAAACCCUAGGGGGUUAUGACUUUAUUAUAUCACAUUAUAAUUCUAUCUAAGACAUUUCUGGAGUCACCUUCCUAUAUUCUCAGUUAACAAAACAGAAAAAAAAAAAGGAAAUGGGGGUUUCUUAGUAAAUUUUCAAGAUGUAACUUGAGAACUCCCAAAAUGGCACAAAUGGCUAACACUAAGGCCCUUGUUUGUGGCCCUUCCUGAGGAGCCAAUACUUACACUUUGGUAUUUCUUACUCUCUGAUACUUUCUCUUAGAGAACCCCACAUCCAUUCUCUCUGUGUGCUCUAUUUUCUGUUUGAACGUUUCUCUUUAUCUCUUAACCUUCAUGAUUAAGUCCACAAAAAUCUACAUAAAAAUGUCUUCAAUGAAAUCUCCAACUCCCUUCAUCAUGUGGAAAUUCAUUUUAGAAUCAAUCCCUUUUUGAUAAUCCCCUUUUGGCCUGAGUUAAGGUCCCUCAAGGUAAUGAGGGUGACAAUGUGAGUCAGUACCUAUCCUCCACCAACCAUGAUUCUGGAAUACUCUCUCCAUCCAUGCUCACAGCUCCUUUUGGGGAGACUGUGAACUCUUUAAGCCCUUUAGGGCUCUCAAAUAUUCUUUUAGCUCUAUCUACAGAGAGAGGUCUGCUAAAGCUGACAGACCACAGAUACGUUCUACCAAUUCAGCACACAUCCAAUUCAAAUAAUUUUGGGGAAAUAUGAGAUCCAAAUUACUCUAUAAGUAACAUAAGGUCCCUAUGAUAUGUGGCAUCAUUUUUUUUCAAGCAAAAUAAUUUGCAAGAUUUAUUUCCUUUUCAUUUUAGAGACAACUAGUAGACACCUAGAGGCAAUAUGCUGGAAUGCCUCAAAAAGCAGUUAAACAGUGUAGGCUUAGGUUCACAUAGAUUUUAGCUUCUUAGUAACUUGAUCAGCUUCAUUGAAAAUAACCUAAAGCUAUUAACAAGUUUGAAAACAUGACUUUGUUAUGAUCAAAAGUAUUGCUUAUCAUGAAAAGAUUUUAUUCUUUGUUAUCAUAUCAUUUUAUUACCACAAGUCUCAGUUUUCCUAUAAUCACACCAUAAUAUCAUAAAUGUAUAGGAAUGCUGGUUGAUGUCUCCAAUGAUGUGUUUAGUAGACAGAGAAGACCUCCAUAAAUUCUAGGCCUACAUGAUCUGAAGAGCUUCUUCUAGGCUGCCCAUGUCUACAGAGAUCCCAUCUCUAAUUAGAACUUAACUUCAACAUGAACUUUCAUCAGGACACUUUUCAGUUAUGUGAGAGAUAACUUCCUAUUCAUUUAUAGUCCAGGCAGCUAACUUUGGAAUUUUGUUCUCAAAGAGUGUAGAAUAAUCGGUAAUCAAGGCCAAGUAAAAUUCAGAAUUACUCUCAAAACUUCUAACAACACAUACACCUUAGAAGCAUAUGUAUUUUAACCUUCUAGUACAGACUCAUGGUUUGUUGUGAGCAUUUACUGAAGGGUUGAUGUCAAAAUAAUGAUAUGAAAAAUUUUACAGAGAGAAAUGAAAUUUCAUUAUAAUUAUAAAGAGAAGAGAUCCAUUCUUCAGACAGGGACAGCUUUUAUUUAUUUAUUUAUUUAUCUAUCUAUCUAUCUUUUGAGAAUUUAAUACAUGAGUACUGUAUUUACAUCAUUCCUCUGGUGGUUAUAUGUAUUUGUUUAUUUUUAGUUAAUUUUUUCAUGCAAUUGUUUUGUUUUCCCUUUCCCCAACUCUUCUCAUCACAUUUAUAUCCUGUUCUCUCCUCAACUCCCUUUAUUCCCUCUCAAAUUUAUGAUUUCUUCUUUAAUUUAACAUUAUACAGAUAGAUACAUAAAUUCAGACUGCUAAGUCACUUAAUCUUGCUGUAUUUGUAUUUUUUCACAAACAACCAGGUUGGAUCGAAUGACCCAUCUCAGGAUCAUUCCCAGAGAAAACAGAUUCUCUCUUUCUCAAUGACUUCCCAUGGGAGGCUUACCUUGUCGGAGGAUGGAAUAGGGGAUCCUACUCAGAAUAAUUCUUUGAAGUCCAGAUCUAGUCCUUCAGUGGGAGAUUACCAAAAGUCACCAUUAAUUCACCUAUGAAAGGAUUCACUGGAGUCAAGAUGGAGAUACUGCCCUAUGCUGUGAUUACUGCUAUCAACAGAAUAGUUCGAAGUCUUACCAACAAGAUUUGCACUUCAAAUAGAGUUAUAAAAUACUGCUUAUGCUAAAGCUGUUUUAGGGCUAUAACUUAUGGUGAUGAUACUCUGUAAGAAAACAAAAAUAAAUAAACAUAUGUAUGAAGAAGAGAAAACAUGGUAAAGGUUGAGAGCAUCAUAAAAUUGAAAGAAUCCUACCAAGCUUUUUCCUUCUCCUACACUUGAAAUACUUCUGUUUUCUUUCAUGAAAAAAGUAUCCUUCAUUCUCUUUUUUCAUUCUUCAAAAAAUUCUCUCACUUGGAUGGAUGAGAGGAUUCAGUUGGUAGAGGCACUUGUCAAUAAAUCUGAUGACCUGAAUUUGAUCCCUGGGACACCAAGGUGGACAAGACUGACUCCUAAAAGUUGAACUCUGACCUCUAUAUGCAUACUGUCACAUGCAUGUACCUGAAAAUACCCCCAUACACAUACAUGGAAUAAUUAAGAGAUAAUAACAUAUUUUAAAAGAGUCUUCUCUGAAAAAAAAAAUUGACAAACAGUGCUAUUAGGAACGAGCCCAGCAUUACUCUGCUACGGGACAGGCAAGAAUGUAGUGAUAGAAGUGAAUCUUUAAGUUUUGGGGGAAGAAGAAGAAAAGAGCAUAAGUGAGUUAAGUGUCUGUUGUGGGUCCAGACUGUUGCAAAAGGAUAGCUGAAAACACAGUUCCCUGUGAUGAGCUGUCAGAGAUCACCUUACUCACGAGUGAAUUUAAAAAGUUACCUAUCAUAUCCAUUCCUCAGGGUUUAUCUCGUGUCUACCAGAUAAUCAAGCAAACAGUUUUCUUUUAUAUAACCUAAGUUAAUCUCAAAGCUGAGCAUUUAACUUUUUAAAAGUAAAUUGAGAGCUGCUUGAGAUUUGGGAACAACUCCACAGAAAUCAUAGGGCUAUUACCUUGAUCAUUCAGGUCUAGACUCUGCCCUGUUGAUCUGCAACUACACUCUGAGGACCACUGCUGUAGAGAUGACAAUUCUUCCUGGGUACUUUUUAGAAAAGCAUCCUCUUCAGGUAUUUUAAGUGUGAUUGCUUUAGCAUCUUCAAGAUACUCCUAGGUAAACCUAAGGCCUUUGAUAUCUGUAAACGAAAAUAGACCUGAGCUUUACAUAAAAUAUGUCCAAUAACCAGACUACUCUUUCCCAUAUUUCAUUUACCUGGGGGCCAAACAAGUUGCUCAAUAAAAAGAAUUCAGGGCAGUUGCCGCAUUUUUUGGUAAACUUGCCUUAAGUCAUAUCAGUCACCUUGCAUUGAUUAUACAUUGCAUUUUAUCAUCCUGAACACACGAGUAGGUAUUCAGAGACAUGUAUGCUUUCAUAUUUGAGAUGACACUUGUAUGAGUUGUAUACUGAUGCCUAGUGUAUCCAGAGGAUAAAGAAUUGGACUAACAAGCCCACCCUUCUCAGAGGAGAAUAGUACUACAGCUUCAGAUAAAAGAUAGCACUUCAUGUUGUAUCUGGUACAGAAACAAAUAUUCUAAUAUACUCUAGUGGCCUUGAGAUAUCUGUACUUGACUGAAAUGUCUCAGAAAUGACUUAGGAGUAAUUACUACAUUGACAUAUGCAUGUAUGCAUAAGACAAUCAAAAAUUUCAGGACUUUUAUCUUCAAAAGUGCUUUGCAAAGGCAGAUGACAACCUUCUGCCACUGGUAUGGUCAUCCUGUUUUUCAUAUUUGGAUAGUCUGUGAUGUCCGUAGGACAGUGAUUCCACUUAGGAUUAAAAUGAGAUACCCCUCCAAAAGUGUGUUAAUACUGUUUUUUGCCUCUCUACAGUGCUGCAGAGCUCUACAUUAUGAUGCCUUAUCAAACUCCCCUUGUUUAUCUGCAAAAUAGCAAUAAUAAUAAUAAUUAUUAUCUUGUAGGACUAUCAUAAUGAUAAUGAUUCAAAAGGCUAUAUAAAUGCAUAAAUAACAUAGGCAUAAUAUAAGAUAGUUCAUAUGUAGAGUGUCAUAGACAAUAUCUGACACUCUUGGUGUGAAUUUGUUAAUUUACUGUAGAUAUCAUAGCUAUGUGCAAAAAACAUCUUCGUUUCAUACACAAAAUGUAGUAGAGAAAAUUUGCUAAUAGGUUAAGCCUACAUAUGGAGAGAAUCUUUUCUAAUGGCAUGGUUUCUCCUCCAAGUAUUGAGUUUUAUAGAUGAAAAUAACUUUUAUUUUAAGAAUGUGGGUGGGAAGUAUCAUAGAUUGAUUUAUUCAACAAGAGGCAUGAAGUGAACAAUCCAGAAGAGAGGAGCAUAGAUGGAGUUGUCAGCAACAGUUCCCCUUCUGAGAGACUCAUUUGCUAAUGUGAUAAUUGCUAUUUAUUUUAUAGGCUUGAGCAUGACAUAUUACCACUGAAACUACUUCUAAUUCUGCUUUUAUUAUUAACCUCACUUUUCAAUUCUUUAUCGACCUUGGGCAAGACUAUUUUCCUCUUCAUAGCAUCAAUAGAAAAGCUGGUUCAAGUUUGCUUUAAAAGAAAUUAAUCUCAAAGCUAUUACUACAUUUUAAAAGGACCUUGUAUGAGAAUGUUAAUAGCCGCUAUUAGACGUGGAGUCAGCCCUUCCCUAAGAGGAAAACAAAAGUGUGGGCUUAGUGUCAUUUGAUAAGAGAAAUAAAUAGUAUGGCUGUGUAGUGUGCUGCAGGCAGAGCAGUUUCAUGCAGACAAAGCCCUCAAAGGACUGAUAUCCCAGCUCACAAUAUUCUUCCUGGCUGAACUCGGGUAAGUUCCAGACCACUCAGACUCAGUUUUUCUGAAAAAUGUUAAAAACAACCCAUAUGGCAUGUCAGUUUUCUGUACCUCUUCUCUGAGGCUUAUUCAUAGAUGGAAGGAAAGAAGUAGGCAGGCAGUGAGAAGGCAAGAAGAGAGGAAUGGAGGGAUGGAAUAGAAAGUCAUAAAAGGAAGCAUGAAUGAGAGAGCCAGUCAGAAACAGAAAUCAAAAGAUGGCACCCAGAGUCUACGAACAGAAUAUUUUUCAAUGAGAACAUCAAAGUCUGGAUUCUUGUUUCUGACAAUGUCUUGUCCUCAUGUUUCCUGUUUUGAAGUCCAUCAUAUUUUUUUUAAUGUUUUUCCAGAGACAGGCAUGGAAAGAUGACAAAUGGGCAUUGAUUGAAUCCUUACAAUGUCUGAAGCAAGAAGUACAGUUACAGUUAAUCACCAUAAUAUCUUAUGAGUUAAGCAUUUUGAUUUUCAGUAUUGCAAAUUGCAACUCACUAUUUCAAUAGUUGAUGUGAACUCUUGGGUUGUAGGGUUUGUAGAAGUCAAAUUAAUAGGUAUAAAUCCAUUUGGAUUCAAUCUCUGCAUAGUAAAUGCUGUGAGAUUCUGUAUCUCAGUUCCCAGAAGUUUAGACCAUCUUCUUACUUGCCAUAAUGUCCCACACAGUUUGCCAGACAAGACCUUACAACUGGUCUAACUGGCUUAUGAAUGAAAUGCACCUUAUGCUCACACAGACUUCUUUCAAAAGGAACCACGUGCAGAAAGUGCAGAGCUCGAGUGACACCCUAGGCAAUUAAGAUCUCAAAGAACCUAGAAAGGAUGCAGAAGUUUUCAAAAAUAAUUUCCACUGUGGCAGAAAUGCAUAUUGAUUGAAGUUACAAUGUCACUCAGAAAGUUUGUAAGUCUUUUUAAGAAUGGCAUUAAGCAGUGACAGAUAAUUGACGGGGACAGACACUUCAACAGAGGUUGACAGAGGGACUGGAAUGCUUCAACAAGAGAAAAAAAUAAUCCAGCCAGAGACAGGCAUAAAGAGAGACUUCUUUUUCUAUUAUUUUCCUCUCUGUAUUCUCAAAUAUUGAUGUCAAUAUACUCAUUCCUUUUAGUUAGUUAAAACACAAAACACAAUUUAAUAUUUGUCUUUAAGAUCUCAAAUAGUAAUUACCAUAUUUUGAAUUUAAUAAAAACCACCUUAACUAAAUAAGAUACAGCUUAGAAAAUAGAACAUAUGGUGCCAUGUGCAAAAAAGAGCUGGGAACAUGGGGGAAAUGUAGUGACGGCUGCCUUUUUGUAUCUACAAAACCCACAAAAUAAAGAGCUUCAAGUUUUCUUUUAUUGAAAAGCUCAGAAGGAGGAAAAUUUCCAACCAAUUUCUAAUAAUACAAUGACAGGAAGUGAAAAGGGUUGUAGCCAGAUUUGAGUUAUAUCAUUUGAGUUAUAGAGCUGGAAAGAAAAGUCUACCUGUAAAUAUAAGCAUUAGAUCUGUAGCUCAUGUGGACAAAGGGGGUGCUUACCAUCUUACUUAGUGAGUGUCCAAUUCAAGACUGAAGAAUGCUCUACCUAAGAGGUAUUCCAUAAAAGAUAAUAUCCAUUUUCGUAGAAAAACAAUGCUUUUCUGACUAAUAUGAACUCUAUCAAUGAAUAAGAGUAACUGUUUAGAUAUAAACUAUGUAAAACUGAAUGUUGUGAUACAUGAAAUCUGCAUCAAUUUAAUGUAGCUGACUUUAGCUGAACACUUAGAAUGUGCUUAUAAUGCUGCUAGGACCAGGCAUGAAGAGACACCCUUACACUUAAUAACCUAUUCUGAAGACUUGAUCCACAAACUAUGAUCUCAUGAACCACAAAGAAAGACUCAUUCCUCUCUACCCAUAAUUAUGAAGAAAUGAGUAAAAUAAGGGCCUUCAGGUUAUACAAUGAUUGUUGAUGACCCUUCAAAGAUCUUUAAAGUAACAUAUGUUUAUGUGUAACAUAUAUAACAUAUAGCACAUAUGGAACAUGACAAAUUGAACAUAUGUUAAGUGUGACAUAGUGCAUGACACAUGGAACAGAUAUUCUAAAUGCAAGUUCUUGAUAUUUACUAGGACAAGAAGAACAAGGAUGUCCCAUGAGAAAGUGUUCAGUUCUUUCAUACCUUUGGCAUGUUGUUCCUUUAUUACUAAGCGACUGUAGACUGGAAGGUUAUCAGUUCCCUUGGAUGUUUUUUCUCUGCUUAUUGCUCAUUGCCAUGUUCAUGGGUAGUAUAAGUCUUUCUGAACCAGAGAAGACAUAUAUGCAAGCAUGAAUUGGUUGAGGCUGCACUUCACCAUACCUCUUACCCUUGAGAUAGACAAUAUUGUCAGCUUUUGGAAUCAGAUGUCAGGCUUCCAAACCUAGAUUUCCUAGUUGCUGUUUCUGUGACCUUAGAAAGGUUUUUCCUUUGGACCCGUUUCCUUAGUGGAUUAAUAAUGCUUCCCAGGGUGCCCUCUUUUUGAGUUUCCGUCUGAGAACAAUAUGAAACAUGGAAACUAAGCUAUUUUCUAAACCUAAAAAAGAUUAUAUGAUACAACAUACUGCUAUAUUAUUUGAGAAAGAAUAAAUUACACACUCGUCCAUAUAUGAACCAAAAUAGCAGUUACAAGGGAAAAGUAUUUUGCCAGAGAUUAGAAUGUCAGUUAGAGGCACAAUGUCCAGAUUUAGAAUGUAAUUUUUGCCCCUGUAUUUAUGGACCACCUUGUCAUCUCUAAAACAUAUGAAACAGAUCUUAAGUACCAUUUAUAUAUAAUUUACUAAAGAAAAUCUGAAUAUCUAUUGUUAGUUACUUUUGCAUUAUUUUGACCAAAAUAUUGGGCAGAAUCAACUUAAAGAAACAAAAGGUGGUUUUACCUUAUGAUUUUGAAGAAUAACAAUGUGUUACGAUGGAGAAGCCAUAGUGGUGGGAAUAUACCUGUGGUGGCUGGAAUGUGAAGUUGAUGCUUGUUCACAUUGUGGCAGACACAAAGCAGAGCUUUCUAAACUAGAGCCAGGGGUGGGUAUCACCACCAAAGAAUCACCCUAGUGACGUACUUCUGCCAGCCUAACUUCAUCUUGUAGAGGCUACACAACCUCACAAUGCUCACAUAACAUAUAGUGUGAUUGCUUAGAUAAAACAAUAGAAACGCACUGAACAUAACAUGUAGCACACAGUCAGUGAUUGGUGAUGAUGAGGAAGAUGAGAAUGAUGACACCUGCUCAUAUCAUGUGCAGCAAUUAGUGAUUUACCAAUGCUCAUCAAGUACUGUCCUGUUGAGGAGGUGUUAUUGAACUUUGUCCCUCAACACUAAGCAGUAACCCUAAUUUAUAGUAGGAUCCCAAUAUGCAUGAGCUCAGUAAUCAACAUUUAUUUUCUAAAACCUAAAAAAGCAGGAGGAACAAUACUUAACCUAGUUUUUCUCUCGUAAAUUUUCAAUUAGCUUGCAUAGCUAUAUUUAGAAUGCCUGAACAUUGAGAGUGUAAUGCUAGCUUUGUGCCCUUGAGUCAAUCAUUUUGUCUUCCAUCCUCUUAAUUUACUGAAACAAAUAAGAGGAUUGGAUAAACCGAAGCUAAACUUGCAAUUAUAAAUCACUAGACUUCUAAUUUUAUAUACAAGUUUGGAUUUUGAUUGUAAAACUUAUUUGUGACAAGUAUUCUCUCUUAUGGCUUUUAAAAUACAUUUCCAUUUGGCUUAUAUGAAUUUCAUGGUCUUAUUGCCAGACAAAAAUAUAUAAUCCACUUCACAUAUGGUCAAGUUUUAGCAAAACACCUUUUACCAGAUUUGCUAAAAAUACAUUGAAUUCACAUUUUUACUGCAGUUUAUCACCACAGAAUUGUCUUGAAGAAAUUAGAAGCUUGUUUUACAUGCUAGAGCAAACUCUAGCUAGGCAAUUCUGUUGCAUAUUAUUUAAAUCCAUAUAAUAAUACACAGUGGGGCCUGAUUAGAGUGCCCAGCUUGAGAAGUUUGCCUGAGAUUUUCCUGGUUAUAGCUAUGAAAUUGUUACAUUCAGAGAAACACAUUCAAAUAAUAAUGAAAAGAAAACAGAAAGAUUUAUACAGUGUGGAAGCAUUUGGGCAUCUGUGGGCAAUGUACAAUAUUUGGAGACUUCUUUGGUUACGACGACUUUUGGAGAUGGCUAGUUUCUUCUUCCUCAGGAAGAAGACAAGAAUGACCCUGUGUAGAAUAGGUCCCAUGGUAUGGUGUUAUCUGGUCCUAAGUGUCAAAAGAGCUACUCAUAAGGACCUUUAAAAUGUUUGUAU